rnacentral:rRNA from 1 species
UACGAAGGGGGCUAGCGUUGCUCGGAAUCACUGGGCGGAAAGGGUGCGUAGGCGGGGCUUUAAGUCAGAGGUGAAAUCCUGGAGCUCAACUCCAGAACUGCCUUUGAUACUGAGGAUCUUGAGUUCGGGAGAGGUGAGUGGAACUGCGAGUGUAGAGGUGAAAUUCGUAGAUAUUCGCAAGAACACCAGUGGCGAAGGCGGCUCACUGGCCCGAUACUGACGCUGAGGCACGAAAGCGUGGGGAGCAAACAGG